rnacentral:rRNA from 1 species
UACCAGCACCCCGAGUGGUCGGGACGAUUAUUGGGCCUAAAGCAUCCGUAGCCGGUCAUGCAAGUCUUCCGUUAAAUCCAGCCGCUCAACGGUUGGGCUGCGGAGGAUACUACGUGGCUAGGAGGCGGGAGAGGCAAGCGGUACUCGAGUGGGUAGGGGUAAAGUCCGUUUGAUCCAUUGAAGACCACCAGUGGCGAAGCGGCUUGCCAGAACGCGCUCGGACGGGUGAGGGAUGAAAGCUGGGGGAGCAACCGGAU